rnacentral:tRNA from 2 species
AAUUAAUGAGCUUGUAAAGCAUAUAUUUUGAAAAUAUAAGAAAGAAUUAUAAUUCUAUUAAUUU